CACUAUAAUGCACUAUAAGUCUCAAUUACAAUUGUCUGGGUGGCGGGUGCCGACAAAAAGUGCCUUCCAACCCCCCCCAUACAUUUUUUUCUGGAAUAGCCCUUAACAAAAAUCUGAAUUUAUGGUAAGAAUAUGAAAACUAAUUAUAUACAACUCCAUGUAUUAAUAUAAUGUUAUUUUAUCCCAACGAAUUUGAUAGCUUAUGAUGCAAAAAAAAACAAGUCAUUAGUCCUCAUAGACUUUAAAUUAUUGUUGUUUCCCAUAUUGAUCCUAAAUUACACAGUAGAUUGCUUACUGUGGAGCUAACAUAAAAAUC
rnacentral:lncRNA from 1 species